UAUCUUAUGAUACUUCUCUCAAAGGACAUAUCUACUUUUUGUUUUAAUUUGUUUCAAAAAUUAAUUUUUAUAUUUAAGUUAUUUUGUAAUUAUAUUUGUAUUUAAUAUUAGUUUAAUUUGAUAGAAUAAUCAUUUAAAUACAUAAAAUUCAUAGUGGAGACAUAACAGUUAUCAAUAAAUCAUAUUUAUGUUUUAAUAUAAUAGAUCCGACGACUUCAAGAGAGAAAGAGAGCUGGUUAUAUGAAUACAAUGAUUAUAAAUAAUAUGACAUAUAUUUCACAGUAACAAAUAAUAUUAUGUAAAUAUUUUAAAUUAUCAAUAUAAAUAAAAAGUAUAAUAUAAUGAUAUUUUGAAGUAAUUUAUAAACUAAAUUUGCAAAAAAAAAUGUUCUGCCUUUAGUAGAUAAACGUUCUGGUUCGGCCACUGUUAUACUUAAAAUCAAAUGUGGGGCCUUAGAAACGACCAAGCAAGACAUGGAGCUAAAAAAACACAUGUGGUGGCAUGGUGCUGUGGUGAUGGCAGAAUAAGAUUUACAUGAGGAAUUCUGAGAAAAGUAAAUAUGGGAAACGGACACAAUCGAUGCUGAAUUCUAUGGAGUGGAAGCAUGCUUGUGUCUUUGAUGACGUAUGAACUGCUGUGUUACCUUUCAGAGUGUAUUUGAAACUUCUUCAUUUUCUGGAAAAGGAGUUUGGUGUAACCAGUGAACUAAGAACCGGGACCAGCUUAAGAGGUACUUUCUUGACAACCGUAAGAGUACCAGCUUCUUCUAUAUCGACGUCUCUCUCGGUCAUCCCAUCAGGCAACUUCCAGUCGAAGAAGUAAAGUAAGUUCAAGAGUCCCAGUUCAACAGUAGCCAUCCCCAUUGUUAUCCCGGGACACCUCCUUCGACCAGAGCCAAAUGGUAAGAACUCGAAAUGCUGGCCUCUAUAACCCACAGGACUAUCUAUAAACCUCUCCGGGUUAAACUCUUCAGGGUUUAUCCAGAGUUUGGGAUCUCGGGCUAUGGCCCAAGCGUUGACCAAGAUCCGUCUCUUGGGAGGAAUAUCAUAGCCUUGAACCUUGAUGUGAGCCAUAGUUUCCCUUGGAAGCAGAAGAGGUAGUACAGGGUGUAACCUGAAUGUUUCCAUGAUCACGAGGUUCAAGUAAGGAACCUUACCGAUAUCUUCUUCGGUGAUUCUCUCCUUACUCUCUCCAAAGCGGUCACGGAUCUCGCCUUGAACUUUCUUCAUCACUUCCAUGUUUCUAACGAGUUCCGUCAUUGUCCAUAUCAUGGUGACGGCUCCUGUGUCUAUCCCACCAAGAAAUAUAUUCUACCAACAAACCAAUAAAGACUCAAAUGAUCAUCGAUCAUAUGUUGAAACAUGGCAUCCAGCUUACGGAAAACAUCAUUGAGCCUCUUGUGCUGUCCUGAAAGCAAGUCAAUAAGCCAUCCAACUCCGGCGAUAGGGAAGAAAUCAGAGCAAGUGAAACUAGCUAGGGCAGUCUCGGCUUCGAACACGAGCUCAUCGAUCUUUUCUCUGUCGAUAAACGUGCUCUCGUGGAAACUAUGUCCAAAAGCAAGUUUAAAGAAGAUACUCGCGGUUAGCCAGUAAAGAGUUUUGCUCAAAUUGACCGUAGCUCGAUCAACUGCAGAUUCGGACAGUUUCUUGACCAGCAAGUUACACUCUUCCUCUCUGAUAUAUCUGGAAGACUGGAGCUUUUUCAAACAGAAAAGCUCGCGGACCAAAAACUUACGCCGCUCUUUCCACUCUUCACUGUAUUGAGUAAAACCGAUAUCUUUAAAACCACGAGAGAUUAGCCUUGGUCCGACAAGAUUAGGCCUGGUGCAACAGUCUAGGUCAUGAGUUCUGAGCACUUCUUCAGCUGCUUCUUUUGAUGAGACCACAGUUACAGGGGCCAAACCUAAGUGAACAAGCAUGACGUGUCCCGUUCUUUCCGCUAGGCGUUGAAGUGACCUGUGAGGCAACUCUCCAACUUGGUGUAAGUUUCCGAUGAUCGGAAACUGUGGAGGCUUUGGAGGAAGAUUCCAUUUAGAGCGUUUGAUGAUCUUCCUUAAGACAAAGGUUAAGGAAGCAAAGGUGAUGAGGAAAAGACAGAGCAAAGAGAUUGCCAUGUUUCUUUGUUUCGAGGCUUACUGAGAAAAUGAAAUUGAUAUUGCUGUUAAAGUACUUUUAUAGUUCCAAGAGGGAAGAACAAAACAAAAUUCCAUU